rnacentral:rRNA from 1 species
AUUGAACGCUGGCGGCAGGCCUAACACAUGCAAGUCGAAUGGUAACAGGAAACAGCUUGCUGUUUCGCUGACGAGUGGCGGACGGGUGAGUAAUGUCUGGGAAACUGCCUGAUGGAGGGGGAUAACUACUGGAAACGGUAGCUAAUACCGCAUAACGUCGCAAGACCAAAGAGGGGGACCUUCGGGCCUCUUGCCAUCAGAUGUGCCCAGAUGGGAUUAGCUAGUAGGUGGGGUAACGGCUCACCUAGGCGACGAUCCCUAGCUGGUCUGAGAGGAUGACCAGCCACACUGGGACUGAGACACGGUCCAGACUCCUACGGGAGGCAGCAGUGGGGAAUAUUGCACAAUGGGCGCAAGCCUGAUGCAGCCAUGCCGCGUGUAUGAAGAAGGCCUUCGGGUUGUAAAGUACUUUCAGCGGGGAGGAAGGGAGUAAAGUUAAUACCUUGGCUCAUUGACGUUACCCGCAGAAGAAGCACCGGCUAACUCCGUG